ACCCUACAUUAGAUGGAGCUUUUUAGACUAAUUAAGCAAUGAAGCGCCAUGACUGUCUCAAGGUUUAUAUGCGGAAGUACAGUACUGUGAAUUAGUCCAAAGGAAAACCAAACACUGAAUAGAAAUUAUUUUCCUUUCUACAAUGUAAAAAGAGAACACAGCUUCAACAGAGCAGCUUAUAAAAUAAAUAAGUUUGGGAAACCUUUAUUCAGUCACUUGUUACAAACUGAAGCAGUUCAAAGUUGGAAGCUAAUUAUAGACCCAACCAACGGCGUAACUAUCGGUAAGCAGAGAGGGGCCCCCAGCUCUUAGGGGCCCCUGAACAAAGACAUGUCUUUGCAGAUGAGGUGAUGCGAAAAAUUCUUCUUAAACCCUCCUGAUACUGUUUGACCUUAUUUAUACCCCAACACAUGGCAGAUUUCUACAUGUUGGUGAGCCGUUUAAACACCACAGUAACCCACCAAUAGCAAAGCAGAUAGUGGUACUUUUAAUUACUAUGUUAAUAGUUGUGUAUAGCUCAUUAGAAGGUUGGUAAAAAACACACUCAUAUAAAAUAUUUCAAACACAAUAAAAAUAUUAAAAGAACAAUGUAUUUGAGUAUUUUAUUUUUUUACAAAACGACUUGGAAUUAUGGGUAAUCCAGAGCAUUGUGUUAGGAAUCCAGUUUGUGUGGCCUGUUUGUAUGUCUCCGUUUUUCACCACCAGUUGGUGCCCUGUCUUCGUUGCCCCUCCUGCACACCUGCGGCUCAUUGGAUCAUUAUCUGGAGGAGUAUUUGAGCAGUGGACUGUCACUACCUCGACGCCAGAGUGUUUGCCAGUUUUGGGAAGCUUUCCUGUGUUACUGGAUACCUGGACCUUCUCUCCACUGGAAGGAUAAACCGAGUUACACUGAGCAGGGGAAAACCUUCACAAGUUCCGUUCAAGUUCCUAUCAAAAAUCAGAGUGACAGUCCGCUCCAUUACUCCUCCGGGUCCAACACUAGUCAAACCUGUCUGCCCUCCAACAUGUGCACCUAACCCUGGAUUCACCACACAGUCUUGAUUCAAGGACUAACAAGGCCCCACUUAAACUUCCGGGUCACCAGCUCACUGAGUUCCAGAUCCAGAUUCCAGUAAAGUUGGACAGAAAACCUUAAGCUGACAUAUCUGUAUGAAGUUGCCCUGUAAAUUGCCUUCACCUGACAUGUUGUGAGUUGGCGCUAAAUAAAUAAACUGAGUUGAAACUCAUUAUGGCAUCAAAUCAAAAAUAUGCAAACACACACAAGACAAUGAUGUUGAACAUUUUUGUGUAUGAGUGUGAUUAUUUAAUGCUAAUUAGGUAAAAGCAUUCUUUUAAGUUUUAUGCCUUUUAAAAAUAUUUUGUAUCUUAAUGUCUUUUGUGUUGUCCUACAAUAAUUAGGUUUUCUUUUUAUACAUUUCCUUUUGUUAAGACCUUCUGUGUCAUUUCAAAGUUAUU